AAUAAGUACAGUCUUGCAUUAUUCAUCUCCAACGUUUGACCGUUCGUCUUAUUUGAAAAAAAAUAUGAUUACUAUUUUUAUUGUUAUUAGAUGAUAAAACAUGAACAGUACUUUAUGUGUGACUAAUUUUUUUUAAAAUUUUUCGUAAAUUUUUUAAAUAAAACGGACGGUCAACCGUUGGACACGAAUUUCUACGGCUGCACUUAUU
rfam:Oryza glaberrima chromosome 5 Oglab05_0095_5, whole genome shotgun sequence.